UGACGGUAAUUUUGCAGAAUGUAAACAAUUAAUCGAAAAAAUCAAUCGUUUUUCCGUUUGCUUAGUAAUUCGCCUCAGUUGUGCAGUUUUUGGCAUUAAAUUGUGUUAUUUUCGUGGUGGUAAACGUGCAAUCAAAUUAUGAACAAAAUAGUAGAAAAAAAUGGGAAACUCGUACAAGAUCGCUGCACUGGCCAAGAAAUCAAAAACGAUUUUAAUAUUCUUCCAAACUUUGGCGAAUUGUAACAACUUUAUCAAAGAAAUAAUAGAAAAAGAUCGACAAUUAUUGCAUCACUGCCAAAAACUGGGGAAAAUUAUAUUUUAAACUACAUGUACAAACAAUAAACGUAACUUUUCCCUACUUAAUACUUCUCGAUUUAAGGAAUAUGCCUAGAAGAUACCAAUUACGUGUUACAAAUUGGUGUAGUUUGAAUGAAAAUGCAGGUACUUAGUAAAAGGAAAAUAGGAAAAUUUGAUUGAUUAUCCCGUUCCUGGCACUGUUUUUAGCAAAAGUUAUUUCGGAAAAUAUGCUUGACACUUAAUGGAAAUUGGACUGACAGGAAUCAUCGGAAAGAGGCAGGCUGACAAACAUCAUUAUGUUUCAACUGUGCUGCCACGUCUACAUGUCAGUUUUUUAUGCGCAAUUUCUCUCUAUUUGUUUCAGUUUUAUUUAAUUUGGAUUAGCUCGUGUUAGUUUGAGUCAGUUUUGUUGCAUAUAAAUAAAAGAAAACAUUGCCAAUUCCAAA